rnacentral:rRNA from 1 species
ACGAACGCUGGCGGCGUGCCUAAUACAUGCAAGUCGAGCGGAAUGAUGAAGAAGCUUGCUUCUUCUGAUUUUAGCGGCGGACGGGUGAGUAACACGUGGGCAACCUACCUUGUAGAUUGGGAUAACUCCGGGAAACCGGGGCUAAUACCGAAUAAUCCAUUUUGCUUCAUGGCGAGAUGUUGAAAGACGGUUUCGGCUGUCACUACAAGAUGGGCCCGCGGCGCAUUAGCUAGUUGGUAGGGUAAUGGCCUACCAAGGCGACGAUGCGUAGCCGACCUGAGAGGGUGAUCGGCCACACUGGGACUGAGACACGGCCCAGACUCCUACGGGAGGCAACAGCAGGGAAUCUUCCACAAUGGACGAAAGUCUGAUGGAGCAACGCCGCGUGAGUGAAGAAGGUUUUCGGAUCGUAAAACUCUGUUGUAAGGGAAGAACACGUACGAGAGUAACUGCUCGUACCUUGACGGUACCUUAUUAGAAAGCCACGGCUAACUACGUG